CCUACGGGGGGCAGCAGUGGGGAAUAUUGGGCAAUGGGCGCAAGCCUGAACCAGCAACGCCGCGUGAAGGAUGACGGCUCUCUGGUUGGAAACCUCCUUUUAGAGGGAAGAGCAGAAGACGGUACCUCUCGAAUAAGCCACGGCUGACUACGUGCCAGCAGCCGCGGUAAUACGUAGGUGGCAAGCGUUGUCCGGAUUUACUGGGGGUAAAGGGCGUGUAGCCGGGCUGAUAAGUCAGAUGUGAAAUUCCGGGGCUCAACCCCGGACCUGCAUUUGAAACUGUUGGUCUUGAGUAUCGGAGCGGCAGGCGGAAUGGAGGGUGUAGCGGUGAAAUGCGUAGAGAUUAGGAGGAACACCGAUGGCGAAGGCAGCCUACUGGACGACAACUGACGGUGAGGCGCGAAAGCGUGGGGAGCAAACAGGAUUAGAUACCCCUGUAGUC
rnacentral:rRNA from 1 species